GGGUUGUGAGGUUAAGCGACUAAGCGUACACGGUGGAUGCCCUGGCAGUCAGAGGCGAUGAAGGACGUGCUAAUCUGCGAUAAGCGUCGGUAAGGUGAUAUGAACCGUUAUAACCGGCGAUUUCCGAAUGGGGAAACCCAGUGUGUUUCGACACACUAUCAUUAACUGAAUCCAUAGGUUAAUGAGGCGAACCGGGGGAACUGAAACAUCUAAGUACCCCGAGGAAAAGAAAUCAACCGAGAUUCCCCCAGUAGCGGCGAGCGAACGGGGAGCAGCCCAGAGCCUGAAUCAGUGUGUGUGUUAGUGGAAGCGUCUGGAAAGGCGCGCGAUACAGGGUGACAGCCCCGUACACAAAAAUGCACAUACUGUGAGCUCGAUGAGUAGGGCGGGACACGUGGUAUCCUGUCUGAAUAUGGGGGGACCAUCCUCCAAGGCUAAAUACUCCUGACUGACCGAUAGUGAACCAGUACCGUGAGGGAAAGGCGAAAAGAACCCCGGCGAGGGGAGUGAAAAAGAACCUGAAACCGUGUACGUACAAGCAGUGGGAGCCUCUUAAUGGGGUGACUGCGUACCUUUUGUAUAAUGGGUCAGCGACUUAUAUUCUGUAGCAAGGUUAACCGAAUAGGGGAGCCGAAGGGAAACCGAGUCUUAACUGGGCGUUAAGUUGCAGGGUAUAGACCCGAAACCCGGUGAUCUAGCCAUGGGCAGGUUGAAGGUUGGGUAACACUAACUGGAGGACCGAACCGACUAAUGUUGAAAAAUUAGCGGAUGACUUGUGGCUGGGGGUGAAAGGCCAAUCAAACCGGGAGAUAGCUGGUUCUCCCCGAAAGCUAUUUAGGUAGCGCCUCGUGAAUUCAUCUCCGGGGGUAGAGCACUGUUUCGGCAAGGGGGUCAUCCCGACUUACCAACCCGAUGCAAACUGCGAAUACCGGAGAAUGUUAUCACGGGAGACACACGGCGGGUGCUAACGUCCGUCGUGAAGAGGGAAACAACCCAGACCGCCAGCUAAGGUCCCAAAGUCAUGGUUAAGUGGGAAACGAUGUGGGAAGGCCCAGACAGCCAGGAUGUUGGCUUAGAAGCAGCCAUCAUUUAAAGAAAGCGUAAUAGCUCACUGGUCGAGUCGGCCUGCGCGGAAGAUGUAACGGGGCUAAACCAUGCACCGAAGCUGCGGCAGCGACACUAUGUGUUGUUGGGUAGGGGAGCGUUCUGUAAGCCUGUGAAGGUGUACUGUGAGGUAUGCUGGAGGUAUCAGAAGUGCGAAUGCUGACAUAAGUAACGAUAAAGCGGGUGAAAAGCCCGCUCGCCGGAAGACCAAGGGUUCCUGUCCAACGUUAAUCGGGGCAGGGUGAGUCGACCCCUAAGGCGAGGCCGAAAGGCGUAGUCGAUGGGAAACAGGUUAAUAUUCCUGUACUUGGUGUUACUGCGAAGGGGGGACGGAGAAGGCUAUGUUGGCCGGGCGACGGUUGUCCCGGUUUAAGCGUGUAGGCUGGUUUUCCAGGCAAAUCCGGAAAAUCAAGGCUGAGGCGUGAUGACGAGGCACUACGGUGCUGAAGCAACAAAUGCCCUGCUUCCAGGAAAAGCCUCUAAGCAUCAGGUAACAUCAAAUCGUACCCCAAACCGACACAGGUGGUCAGGUAGAGAAUACCAAGGCGCUUGAGAGAACUCGGGUGAAGGAACUAGGCAAAAUGGUGCCGUAACUUCGGGAGAAGGCACGCUGAUAUGUAGGUGAAGUCCCUUGCGGAUGGAGCUGAAAUCAGUCGAAGAUACCAGCUGGCUGCAACUGUUUAUUAAAAACACAGCACUGUGCAAACACGAAAGUGGACGUAUACGGUGUGACGCCUGCCCGGUGCCGGAAGGUUAAUUGAUGGGGUUAGCGGUAACGCGAAGCUCUUGAUCGAAGCCCCGGUAAACGGCGGCCGUAACUAUAACGGUCCUAAGGUAGCGAAAUUCCUUGUCGGGUAAGUUCCGACCUGCACGAAUGGCGUAAUGAUGGCCAGGCUGUCUCCACCCGAGACUCAGUGAAAUUGAACUCGCUGUGAAGAUGCAGUGUACCCGCGGCAAGACGGAAAGACCCCGUGAACCUUUACUAUAGCUUGACACUGAACAUUGAGCCUUGAUGUGUAGGAUAGGUGGGAGGCUUUGAAGUGUGGACGCCAGUCUGCAUGGAGCCGGCCUUGAAAUACCACCCUUUAAUGUUUGAUGUUCUAACGUUGGCCCCUGAUCGGGGUUGCGGACAGUGUCUGGUGGGUAGUUUGACUGGGGCGGUCUCCUCCUAAAGAGUAACGGAGGAGCACGAAGGUUGGCUAAUCCUGGUCGGACAUCAGGAGGUUAGUGCAAUGGCAUAAGCCAGCUUGACUGCGAGCGUGACGGCGCGAGCAGGUGCGAAAGCAGGUCAUAGUGAUCCGGUGGUUCUGAAUGGAAGGGCCAUCGCUCAACGGAUAAAAGGUACUCCGGGGAUAACAGGCUGAUACCGCCCAAGAGUUCAUAUCGACGGCGGUGUUUGGCACCUCGAUGUCGGCUCAUCACAUCCUGGGGCUGAAGUAGGUCCCAAGGGUAUGGCUGUUCGCCAUUUAAAGUGGUACGCGAGCUGGGUUUAGAACGUCGUGAGACAGUUCGGUCCCUAUCUGCCGUGGGCGCUGGAGAACUGAGGGGGGCUGCUCCUAGUACGAGAGGACCGGAGUGGACGCAUCACUGGUGUUCGGGUUGUCAUGCCAAUGGCACUGCCCGGUAGCUAAAUGCGGAAGAGAUAAGUGCUGAAAGCAUCUAAGCACGAAACUUGCCCCGAGAUGAGUUCUCCCUGACUCCUUGAGAGUCCUGAAGGAACGUUGAAGACGACGACGUUGAUAGGCCGGGUGUGUAAGCGCAGCGAUGCGUUGAGCUAACCGGUACUAAUGAACCGUGAGGCUUAACCUUACAACGCCGAAGGUGUUU
rnacentral:rRNA from 1 species